GAUGAACGCUGGCGGCGUGCCUAAUACAUGCAAGUCGAGCGAACGGACGAGAAGCUUGCUUUUCUGAUGUUAGCGGCGGACGGGUGAGUAACACGUGGAUAACCUACCUAUAAGACUGGGAUAACUUCGGGAAACCGGAGCUAAUACCGGAUAAUAUUUUGAACCGCAUGGUUCAAAAGUGAAAGACGGUCUUGCUGUCACUUAUAGAUGGAUCCGCGCUGCAUUAGCUAGUUGGUAAGGUAACGGCUUACCAAGGCAACGAUGCAUAGCCGACCUGAGAGGGUGAUCGGCCACACGGGAACGGAGACACGGUCCAGAGUCCUACGGGAGGCAGCAGUAGGGAAUCUUCCGCAAUGGGCGAAAGCCUGACGGAGCAACGCCGCGUGAGUGAUGAAGGUCUUCGGAUCGUAAAACUCUGUUAUUAGUGAAGAACAUAUGUGUAAGGUACUGUGCACAUCUUGACGGUACCUAAUCAGAAAGCCACGGCUAACUACGUG
rnacentral:rRNA from 1 species